UUGUACGUAUGUCUGACGUACUUAACUAUUUUUAUAUACCGAUUCUCGUACUCGUUCAACCGGUUUGUCUGGUCAACGUGUGUCUCAAGUGUUUGUUACCUGUGCUGUUUUGUUAUGUAAAUGUCUUGUCACGUGAUCGCAUGUCAGCUCGUGCACUUGUACGUCUUGUAUCUUCACUCCCGCACUGGACAGAGACCGGACCAGACAUAGAAACCUAUACCGACAUAUAUGAUACCGACUGCGGUGAACAGAACUCUACUUAUUUCAGAAACCAUAGACCUAUUAUGUAGGCAACGUAUAUUAUACGUAGAGCUAUCAUCAUUAGACCCCUGUCGGAGCGAUAGGGAUUCUGGAGCCUCGCUUUGGAGCACUGGAGCAGCUGUGUAUCCUUGACCUUCAAGGUCGAUAUUAGAGCUUCCGGUGGAACAACGUUUUGUUGUGUUGAUCAGAUGAUCAUGGAUUUAUUCGAAGGAUACCGGAGUGGACGUGCCGUUUGGUAAUUAUGAUAGAAGUUUACAAGGACUCUGGAUACCCCUGUACAAUGUUCCUUAUUACACCUUACAGCCAUCCAUCUACGCCAUCACACAUCAAGUAAAAUGAUGCUUUAUGCAAGAGCAGAUUAAAAAAUGAACAGACUUUUGGAAUUUUGAAAAGAAGACUUGCUUGUUUGUCACUUAGUUUGCGUGUUGAGCCCAGGAAGGCUACCAUCAUAACAUUGGCCUGUGCUGUUCUGCACAAUAUUGGAAUUGACAAGAAUGAAAUUAUUUGUUAACCAGAAGAGUACGAGGAAAGUAAUGAAGAUGUUUGGACCUGUAUGAAUAAUGAGGGCAAUGGGAACGCUAUGCGUGACCAUAUCAGAUCAACAUAUUUCCUGUGAUUUUGUAUGAAAAUAUAUCUGAACAGAACUGAGUAUAGUUCUACUGGUUAAUACAAUGUAUAAAGUUAUUCAUAAGGAGUAUAUUUUAUUAUAAUGUUAUGAAGAACUCGUUACUGUCUUAUAAAAGUUGAUUCCUGAAUUCGCUAAAUUGGCUACAUGUAUAUAAAACAAACAAAAAUAGCCAUGAAGAAAAAGAAGACCUAUGAUUCCGAUUUUUCUUCAUAUAACAGAUCAAAUGCCUUAACAGUUUGAAACCGAUUCUUCAUUAGAGCCUUCUGUUCCUUAGCAAUUUCUGUCUUGAAUUUGGUCUUCUCUUUUCAUGGCAAGAAGCUCUAUCGUUAUUUUCACUCUUUUGGUUACUAACUCCAGAAUUUCUUUCUAAAGCUGGUCACGCUUACUUCAGAUCUCUUCAGAUUUCUUUUUGAAGUACCUGUGAUAAAAUAAUCUAUAUUAUAAAACUGUAGUGUUACUGGUCUUUGUAGUACGUUUACAGCACACAGCAUUCUUCUAAUUCAAACAGUUAUAUAUGACCACAAAUAUUAAAUGAGUUUUAUUCCUUAUGAGAUGUAGAAAAUGGUACUCUCACAAAGACCAUUUAUUGGAAGUUAUGCUUCCAGGUUCCUACAAUAAAAUAAAAAAGCAUCUGUUUUAAGGUCCAAUGACUAUUCUUCUACUUAAACAUCUCCAUAUGAUGUACUUCAUUUGUGCAAAUUCAUGUAAAUCAAGUGAUGUAAAAGAAGCGAAAAAUCACAGAGACAUAUAGAUGAAAAGACCAAUGGACAAACAGUGUAUUCCUAUAUAUUUUUGUAGUUAACAAUCCCUACUACCCCAGCAAAUUUGAAUAGAAUUAGAAUAAUUUGUUAUAAAUCACAUUCUAUCCUAGUAUUCAAUACUUGCAUUUCACAGAAAAACUUGUCAGUUGAUGUUUUUAAAUGUUCUUAUAUGGAGAAAUAAUGAGUAGUUACAUACUAUGCAUCAUGAUCUACAGUUAUGUUAUUGAAAAGUGAUAUGUUUUGUUGAUUACCAGUUGGCCUAAUUUUAAAACACCUAUGGACAUGAUAUAACACAAGCAAAUAGUAAGUGUUUAUGAAAGAUUGCCUUGCUAAAAAAGAAAAAUUCAGGUGACUUGACAUCAUUGCAUGCCUAGCUUCAUGAAGUGUCACAAUAGACUGCAUGACUACUAUCUUCUUUCUGUGAUUCAUAUUAAAUUAACAUUCAGUGUAACCAUAAAAAGUAAAACAGAUCAAGUAACAGUACAGUACCUGUUGGUGUGAUCCUGUCAGUGGUACCAGUACACCUCGCUGAUAUUAAUGUAUCAUCUUCUUCUUCUAGGGGAUUCAAUAUGAUUCCAAGAUGUGUUUAACCAACACAGAGUCAGUACAUUUCAUAGUGAUGAUGAUCAUAACCAUUCUUCAUCUUUUUUCAUGAAAGUAACCAGUGAAAUAUCUGUAGUAGGAGAGUGUUUUUACCAGCUAUUGGCUACAAAUAAAUCCCCUUGUGGAUUAAAACACUUUCCAGAUUGCAAAUUGUAGGGAAUUUAAAUAUUUGUUUUUCAUUCUGAAAAAAUUCUGGUUCAAUUAAGUGGAGGCUCAAUUACAUAUACUCCCCUGCCACUCCCUUUUCUGUCACCCUGCAUUGCUUGUGACAUUUGACCCUUUAUCCUUGACCAAUGUUAUUCCUUAAAUCAAAUCUUAUCUCAUAUUUUAAUAGACAUCUAUGAUACUCUGUACCUGUUAAGUAUAUAAUUCUACUUGAUAAAGAUUACAUUUCUGAGAAGAUGAUGGUAAAACAUCAUCUUAAAUAGAUAUAUAACAUCAUUCCACAAAGUACUCAAUACAGUUAUUUUUAUAAAAUAAAAUGAAUUUGUUCUUAUGAGCCAGCUUGAUUCUGAUACGCAACAAAAAUUAACACUAUUGCAAAAUAAAUAUACAUUUGUAUCCACAAAUCCUGGAAACGUGAUACAGUAGUUUUCAAUGUCACCUUGCAUUACUGUAUGUUGCUAUUGACAUUCCACUGUCCCUAGCACCAAUCAAGAGAGUGACAGCUGCUAGCCGUUUUUAUUUUCUUCUAAAUCAAUCACUUUUCUGCAUUGUACUUAACAUUUUAUUGAAGUUGCAUGUACCAUAUCAUAAUUUUCUUUUAACAUGGGUUUCUAAUAUUUACAUCUUCAUUGGUUAGUAUUAAACCAGUCCUAAAAAAUCACCUAUGCUUAAUUAUGCCUUUUUGGUUAAUAUACUGUUUUAAAAGGAAGUUGAAAAUUAAUAAUGAAAUUUAUUGGUAAAGGAGUUGUGACAAUAAUAAUGUGUAGUGGUAAUACUGAAAGGUAUGCACCUAGAAUGACAUGAUAAAGGGUAAUUUGUCUAAAGAUGGAAAAGUAUAGGUUAUAAAGAACUAUACUUUAUGUAUGUAUGUUUGUAUGUAUGUAAAUAUGUGUGAACAUGUAUGUGUGUGAUAGAUAAAAUGCAACUUAUAAUAAAGUAUAACCAUACAGAUAUGAUAUUAGACAACAGUUUCACUGUAUAGGAUUCUGUACACAUUCAGUGUAUUGUACAUUUUCUUUUGAAAAAGAAAAUAAUAAUAAAAAUUCUACAAUGUAAUGGAUC